UAAUAUAUAAGUAUACCAAGAAAAAGAAAGGAAAGGGCAUCUUACUGAAAAGUACUGAAGUAGGAGGUGGAGGGAGUACCUGUGAAGUCUCUAGUAUAGCAAAUGUUGGGUGAUAGAACCAUAGAACAAUUGUGCAUAAAUAUAAUGAUACAUUGCACAGCCUAAAUGUUGGUACCCUGCUAGUUUCCUGGUGAAAGAUAUGCUUUUAUCUUUGCUAGUUGUGGCUUGAAAUCUGGUUUCAUUGUAUGGCUG
rnacentral:misc_RNA from 1 species